GCCCGUAGACCAAAAAUUAAAUAAAAAUCGUACCCCUCGGAAGUAGGCACAAUUGUGAAGCAAAAGACUGAGUACAGAUCUGUAAUGUGAAGAAGGUUGCAGUUAAGCUGCAGUAAUGCAAGACAUCAAGUUGACUUCCAAGUCUCACUGCAACCUUCUUCACAUUGCUGGUGGUAAAAGAAAAUCAGUCGAGACGUUUCGUUCCAAGAGAACUUUCUCCAAGAAUAUUUUGACGAGCCUUGGAACCUCACCAACCAUCGGGUCGUCAAAAUCGGGUGAAAACACGAAUGUACCGUCGAUAUGCGAUGUAUUUUUUUUUUUUUUAUCGCUGGAAUUGGUAAUGAUCCAUGAUCAAUGGUUGCAAAGAAUGUGGACGUCACGUCAAUGGUCGACCGGGAGGGCAUGUUGGGAGUUUGGUGAGGGAAGGGGGAGGGCGAGGAAAGUGUGCACGGUCACACUGGCGGAAUGGGAGCAACCUUCCCUUCCUCAUUGCGGCUAGACUGAUGCGGAGAUCCCUCCCAGCAGCUUCUGCUCCAUCAUUGCCCUCCGCCAGGCCCCUCCAAUCCUCAUGUCCGCUUUCGAAUGGAAUUUCGCAACCCCCUCUCCCUACCAUAUGUGGAAUUGUUGCUCGAUGUCAAUCUCGACAGGAGCAGAGGAACCUAGGGAAUGGAAUAAAAACGCACAAAAAGAAGUAAAAAAACAUUGGGCCACUCCAUGUCGUCAUUAUGAGAAGCGAUUCCUCUUUAGAUCCCUCCGCAGUACGGUGACCAUUUGUUUGCUUUUCUAUUUAAUUUACUUGUCCGUAAAGUGUAUUCAAUAUGGUUGCGUGUAAAACCAUUGCGCGAGGCGGAUGCCCAAAUAAUUCUACGCAUUCUGUUACACCGACAUGAGCACUAAACCUACGGAUUGUUCCAGGUUUAUGAAUUUUGAGAGGAUGGGCGACGUCAUUAUUUUUCUUUUCUUUUCUUUUCGAGAUUUUAACUUUUCUGCCCCGAUUGAUAUCGUGGUUGCAGAGAUAAUAUUACCGAAGCCAUGAGGAGAUUACAGAGAGAGAUUAGCGCCUGUGCAGAUGGCAUACGCAGCAAAGGCAGGCGCAGCCGCAGUAGCAAGAGCUCCUCGAGAAGAGUGCGACUGAACAACGAUCGAAGAAGGAUACACAUGAAGUCUCCGAAAGUGUUUUUUCUUUGAGGUUUCCAAGUUCUUUUUGUCUGGACAGCCAUCGACAUUUUAAUUGCCAGCUGAGGUUUUUCCACAAUCCCCAAUCAAAGAGCGAAUAAAACAUACGCACCCCGAGCUGCCGACCUCACGAUGUAUUCACUCCCCAGCACUCAUCUUACACCGUAAUCUGUAAAUUCCUUCCUCAAUAAUUGACGUCCCUUCCUCAAUAAUUCA